UUGAAAGGGAAACGAUUGAAGUCAGUCGUACUUACGAGUAAUCAACCUUUUAGGUGCGAUCUUGUGGGCAUCUGAGAGUGGUAACACCUUGAUGUUUUCAAGUUCGUGCUUUGGGGCGUACUCGCUCGUUUGUAGGUUAACAUCAGUUUCAAGAGUUACAAAAUGACUAAAGGAAUGUAGCUUUGAUUUCGAUUGAAGUGUUAUAGUCUCUGGUAGAUGUAAUGAUUGAGACUGAGGAUUGCAACGAAUACCUUUUAGGCUAUCUGUCUGGCUUCUGGUUAUCGCUUUGGUGCCGAAAGCUUGCUUACGGUUAUUGAAGUUUGGUGGCCAAUAGGUUAGAACGGAUUAAAUUCGUUAAGGAUGU
rnacentral:rRNA from 1 species